GGAACCUUUGCGUGGAAGCUAUUUUUUCCCCGUUUUCUUGCUGCCUGUGUGCUCCCCUGCUGUGCAAAGCCAGCCCUGGAGUGAUCGCCCAGCCUUCUACUUAGCAAAAACAAAUGGCAAACAGCCGCAAAACGACUGCCCUCCUCUAUUAUGUGGGGGUGAAUGAUUGUGCAACUGGCACCGGAUCAGGACUAUUGCAAAGAGAGCGCUACAGGUAAUCCUCCAUAUUUUUAUGAUCUGAAAAGGCUCUGAGAUUCUUAAGCAUAAUAGAAGUGUUCCCACCCCAUUCCUUUUCAUUAACAAGAUGAUAAUAUCCUAGAUCCAACCUCCUGAGCUGUUACAGAAACAGAGUAUCAAAUGUUUUCAAACAUAUUAGUCAAUUUCUAGGAUGAGUACUUCGGUGACUAAUUCGCUAACCAUUCCCACAUACGACAGGCUACGUCAGGUGUGGCAAACCUUUUCCCAGCCCAAGGGAGCAUCCUCUUGUGGUGGACUUCCCAGGCACCCAUAGGAGCCAACUCCUAGGGGCCAAGGUCCCUUCAGUCCCCCCAAUAAAAUAUUUGAGGGAGCCGGGGCCCAAAAGUUAAUGGGCAUUGCCAUUCAAAUGCGGUGUGUGUGUGCUGCAUCUUAUGAUUAAUUAUGUGGGGUCGGGAUUACCUGCCCCUCAAAAUAUUUUAUUCAAGUUGGCACCCCUGCAGGUGCCACAUGCCAAUGACAAGCAGGGCCAGAGGCCAAAGAGGGCAUAGCAAGGGAGGUGAUUCUUACAAUUAUAUAGUCUGCACUUCAGUCACACAGUCAACAGCUUGUACACCCACACCCCCUACACCCCUCUGCACAUCCAGGCUAGUAAGAGUCAGGGGAAAGUUCUUAAGGAGAGUGGGGGGCAUGGCCUGGAGAGGGACUUGCCCCCCCAAGACAGAUGUUUCAUUGCAGGUGUCCUCUGCAACAUGUUAUAGACACAAUAAGUGCUUUUUUUCUUAAAAAUGUUUAGGGGUCCUCUCAUUUUGACUCAAGAAAAUCACUGGGAAAGGAAAUGAAGCCGCCAUUGGAGGUGGUAACAACGAAACUGACGAUUCACCAUGCUAUUCAACAGAACUGAAGAUUCACCGUGCUAGAGAAGAAACUUAGCUUCUUCUCCCAUUAGAUUCACAAAGUGUUUAGGGGCAUGCGUACCCCUGUGUAUCCCGAGAAAAAAAAGCACUGGACACAAUAAUAAUGCAUAGUAGUGGAUUUAUCCCACUUGGGUUGGUUCUGCAGUGCUUCCCCAACGCAACCAUGUUAUUGCUGUCCAGAGGGGCUAUAGCGCACCAAAAGCUGGACAAAAAUAAACCAGAACAUUUGUGGUAUAAAAA